rnacentral:rRNA from 1 species
UACGGGGGGGGGGCAAGCGUUUGUUCGGAAUUACUGGGCGUAAAGGGCUCGUAGGCGGCCAACUAAGUCAUACGUGAAAUCCCUCGGCUUAACCGGGGAACUGCGUCUGAUACUGGAUGGCUUGAGUUCGGGAGAGGGAUGCAGAAUUCCAGGUGUAGCGGUGAAAUGCGUAGAUAUCUGGAGGAAUACCGGUGGCGAAGGCGGCAUCCUGGACCGGCAUUGACGCUGAGGAGCGAAAGCUAGGGGAGCAAACGGG